rnacentral:tRNA from 1 species
GCGGGUGUGGCGGAAUUGGCAGACGCGCUAGACUUAGGAUCUAGUGAGUAUUCGUGCAGGUUCAACCCCUGUCACCCGCACCA